rnacentral:rRNA from 1 species
CCUACGGGAGGCAGCAGUAGGGAAUCUUCCACAAUGGGCGACAGCCUGAUGGAGCAACGCCGCGUGGUUGAAGAAGGUCUUCGGAUCGUAACACCCUGUUGUUAGAGAAGACAGUGCGUGAGAGUAACUGUUCACGUUUCGACGGUAUCUACCCAGAAAGACACGGCUAACUACGUGCCAGCAGCCGCGGUAAUACGUAGGUGGCAAGCGUUAUCCGGAUUUAUUGGGCGUAAAGGGAACGCAGGCGGUCUUUUAAGUCUGAUGUGAAAGCCUUCGGCUUAACCGGAGUAGUGCAUUGGAAACUGGGAGACUUGAGGGCAGAAGAGGAGAGUGGAACUCCAGGUGUAGAGGUGAAAUGCGUAGAUAUAUGGAAGAACACCAGUGGCGAAGGCGACUUACUGGACUGUAACUGACGCUGAGGCAUGAGAGCAUGGGGAGCAAACAGGAUUAGAUACCCUAGUAGUC